CCUACGGGAGUCAGCAGUGGGGAAUAUUGCACAAUGGGGGAAACCCUGAUGCAGCGACGCCGCGUGAGUGAAGAAGUAAUUCGUUACGUAAAGCACUAUCAGCAGGGAAGAAACACUGACCUUACGGUCAGCAGACGGUAGACGAGUAAGAAGCACUGGCUAACUACGUGCCAGCAGCCGCGGUAAUACGUAGGGGGCAAGCGUUAACCGGAUUUACUGGGUGUAAAGGGAGCGGAGACGGUGCGCCAAGUCUGAAGUGAAAUGCCGCAGCUUAACUGCGGAACUGCUUAGGAGACUGGCGGACUAGAGUGCGGGAGAGGUAAGCGGAAUUCCUAGUGUAGCGGUGAAAUGCGUAGAUAUUAGGAGGAACACCGAUGGCGAAGGCGGCUUACUGGACCGUAACUGACGUUGAGGCUCGAAAGCGUGGGGAGCAAACAGGAUUAGAUACCCGAGUAGUC
rnacentral:rRNA from 1 species